rnacentral:lncRNA from 1 species
UGGGCCUCUUCCAACAUUUGGAUUAGAAUCUGGCGAUGGUCCUCAGAGGUUAGUACCAGAUCUAUGAUAGAGGUUUGGGAGGGUACUUCUUUCAGAUGCUUUAUUGUCCUUACCUCAUUUUUUCCCAUCUUAGUUAGGAACUCGAUAAUCUUUCCCUCAGGUACUUUUCCUGCAGUCUUAGCUAUUGGCUUCAUCACUCGCCCAGGAAGGUAAAGUGGAUUAUCUUUUUAAAUGAUUUUUAUAUAGUCCGUGGUAAUCUCAUCUCUUCUCUAUAAUUCCAUAUAACCUUUUUUAAACUGAAGAUGGGGAGUUGUGGCCGAGGGGUUAAUAUCAACGACUUCAGAGCUAUUAUUUCCACUUGAGCUUUCUCCCUCUCGGUGGUUAUUCCAUUGAUUUCUAUGGGUUCCUUAGAGGUUCCCUCUAUGCAAGUGAUGACUGCCACCAUCUCUUUAGAUCUUCCUAUCUUUGGAGGGUAUAUUAUCUCUUCAUCGGGGAGGAUCUAACCAUUACUCACCAUUUCUAAGUCGUCAGAUUCAAUUAAAUUUUGGAUUAGAUGUUGCAAGGCCCAACAUUCCUCUGUGGCAUAACUAGGGUUACUUCAGUGAUAGAGGCAUGUUUUAAUAGGAUUUAAUCAUUUUGAUCGAGAAUUAGUGGGUGGUAAGAAUUUUGUGAUCCUUCCUUCCUUGAUUAACAUGUGAAAGAUAUCUUCCAUAGAUUGGCCUAGAGCGGUAAACUUUUGCUUAGCUGCAAAUUCUCUCGGGAUUUAAAAUUUGGAUUCCCUUGAUAUCUUUUUUUGUCCAUUUGCUCUCUUCCCAGAAGCAUAUUGGUUCUCUUUUUGGGUUUGGGAUGAUAGUG